AUUGAACGCUGGCGGCAGGCCUAACACAUGCAAGUCGAACGAGCGACGGACGGGUGAGUAAUGUCUGGGAAACUGCCUGAUGGAGGGGGAUAACUACUGGAAACGGUAGCUAAUACCGCAUACCCUCAGAUGUGCCCAGAUGGGAUUAGCUAGUAGGUGGGGUAACGGCGCACCUAGGCGACGAUCCCUAGCUGGUCUGAGAGGAUGACCAGCAACACUGGAACGGAGACACGGUCCAGACUCCUACGGGAGGCAGCAGUGGGGAAUAUUGCACAAUGGGCGCAAGCCUGAUGCAGCCAUGCCGCGUGUAUGAAGAAGGCCUUCGGGUUGUAAAGGACUUUCAGCGGGGAGGCGUUACCCGCAGAAGAAGCACCGGCUAACUCCGUGCCAGCCGCCGCGGUAAUUC
rnacentral:rRNA from 1 species